GUGCUCGCUUCAGCAGUGCAUGUACUACAAUUGGAAGCAAACAGAGAAGAUUAGCCUGGCCCCUGUGCAAGGGUGACAUGCAAAUUCAUGCAGUUUUUUAAAUCUAA